AUUGAACGCUGGCGGCAUGCCUUACACAUGCAAGUCGAACGGUAACGGGCCUUCGGGUGCCGACGAGUGGCGAACGGGUGAGUAAUGUAUCGGAACGUACCUUUCAGUGGGGGAUAACGUAGCGAAAGUUACGCUAAUACCGCAUAUUCUGUGAGCAGGAAAGCAGGGGAUCGCAAGACCUUGCGCUGAUUGAGCGGCCGAUAUCAGAUUAGCAAGUUGGUGAGGUAAAGGCUCACCAAGGCGACGAUCUGUGGCGGGUCUGAGAGGAUGAUCCGCCAAACUGGAACUGAGACACGGUCCAGACUCCUACGGGAGGCAGCAGUGGGGAAUUUUGGACAAUGGGGGCAACCCUGAUCCAGCCAUGCCGCGUGAGUGAAGAAGGCCUUCGGGCUGUAAAGCUCUUUCGGCCGGGAAGAAAUCGUAUCAGCUAAUACCUGGUGCGGAUGACGGUACCGGCAUAAGAAGCACCGGCUAACUACGUGCCAGCCGCCGCCGUAAAAC
rnacentral:rRNA from 1 species